GACGAACGCUGGCGGCGUGCUUAACACAUGCAAGUCGAACGGAAAGGCCCUUCGGGGUGCUCGAGUGGCGAACGGGUGAGUAACACGUGGGUGAUCUGCCCCGCACUUUGGGAUAAGCCUGGGAAACUGGGUCUAAUACCGAAUAGGACUCCGGCCUUCAUGGGUUGGGGUGGAAAGCUUUUGCGGUGUGGGAUGGGCCCGCGGCCUAUCAGCUUGUUGGUGGGGGAAUGGCCUACCAAGGCGACGACGGGUAGCCGGCCUGAGAGGGUGACCGGCCACACUGGGACUGAGAUACGGCCCAGACUCCUACGGGAGGCAGCAGUGGGGAAUAUUGCACAAUGGGCGCAAGCCUGAUGCAGCGACGCCGCGUGAGGGAUGACGGCCUUCGGGUUGUAAACCUCUUUCAGCACCGACGAAGCGAGAGUGACGGUAGGUGCAGAAGAAGGACCGGCCAACUACGUGCCAGCAGCCGCCGUAACAC
rnacentral:rRNA from 1 species